CUCAGAAGCACGUGCGCCUUACGUAAUUUCCUGUUAUUCUUCGGUUUGCCUCCUCCCAGUGGCGUGGAUUUGCUCCCGACCCGCUUUUGGGGCGUGCCUGCUUCCUCCUCUCUGUUAGGUGAGUGAGUAGGCGUCAUUCUUCACAGUAGUCCUCUGCCUCCACCGCCCCGGGAUCUCCUUGCGCUCGGUCCUCUACGUGGAGUCACCUAUGCAGAGGAAUUCCACGGGGCGGGGGCGAGGACAGGGUGCGGGGGUCUUUAUGGCAGACAAUCCCCGGCUGAGCGCUUGGCCAGAGUUUCUGUGAUGCUAGAAUCUGGACUGCCUGCGACCUCUCCGGGACUCGGACACCAGCCCUCGCCUCCUGGUGAUCUUUUAGGUCCUGCAGAGAAGUGAAGAGAUCUCGCUCUGUCACCCAGGCUGGAGUGAAAUGGCACAAUCUUGGCUCACUGUAACCUCCGCCCCCAGGUUCGACUGAUUCUCGUGCCUCAGCCUCCUCAGUAGCUGGGAUUACAGAUGAGCCCCAGAGAGGCGAAGCCACUUGAGCUCGUGAGUGACAGUCAGAUGUCAAGCCCUGCUCUUUCUAAAGCGUGCUGCCUUCAGAAAAGAAGAGCCAGAAGGAUGGAAAUUACUUCAGAAAGAUGAAUACCAGCUUUGAAGGAAUAAAAGCUGACGAGGAAUUGAAGGAGUUGAGGCACGAGCUUGAACAGGGUUGCAUGUUUGGCCCUUGAUUGUAAAUGCCCAUUGCUGCACCUGUUCCUGUUACUUGGGGAGUUGCAGCAGAAGGAACAGCGGCCUGGGACUCCAGAGAACUGGGUUCCCUCUCAUCCCUCCAGGGCCACCACUUCUUGUGGGCCCUUGGGCAAGUCACUGUACUUUCUGAGUCUCAGUUUCCCCAUUUGCAGAAUGGAAAUAACUACCCCGGUCUACCAACUUAGAAGAAUUGCUUUGAGGAUCUGAUAAGGUGGUGUGGAUGAUGCUGCCUUGGGGGCUUUACAGUCUGGAGCUCAAGGGACCCCUUAAGUUGGGCUUACUUAGUAACUCCAGGGGUGGGCAGAACAGGACUCCAAUGAGGGUUUUUUUCUUUUUCCCUUUUUUUUCUUUUCCUAUCUCUUAACUUUUAUCUUUAUUAUUUUACAAUGCCCUUGUAAGAUGAAACAAGUGAUGCUGAAAUAUCUUUUUCUUUUUUAACCUUUAUUUUAGAAUUGGGGUACAUGUGCAGGUUUGUUACAUAGGUACAGUGUGGGCUGCUGAGGUUUGGGAGUACGAAUGAAUUAGUCACCCCAGUGGUGAGCAUAGUGCCCGAUAAGUGGUUUUUUCAACCCUUACUCCCAUCCCUCUCCAUUCUUGUGUUCCCCAGUGUCUGCUGUUCCCAUUUUUAUGACCAUGUGUACUCAAUGUUUAGCUCCCACUUAGAAGUAAGAACAUGCCCAGCACUUUGGGAGGCCGAGGUGGGUGGAUCAUGAGGUCAAGAGAUCGAGACCAUCUUGGCUAACAAAGUGAAACCCUGUCUCUACUAAAAACAUAAAAAAUUGGCCGGGUGUGGUGGUGGGCACCUGUAGUCCUAGCUACUCGGGAGGCUGAGACAGGAGAAUCGCCUGAACCGGGGAGGUGGAGGUUGCAGUGAGCUGAGAUUGUACCACUGCACUCCAGCCUGGGUGACAGAGUGAGACUCCAUCUCAAAAAAAUAAAAAUAAAAAAAUAAAAAGAAUGUGGUGUAUGAUUUUGUUUUCUGUUUCUAUGUUAAUCCACUUAGGAUAAUGGCCUCCAGCUACAUCCACGUUGUUACAAAAGACACGAUUUCAUUCUCUUAUAUGGCUGCCUAAUAUUCCACGGUGUAUAUGUACCAUAUUUUCUUUAUCACAUCCACUGUUGAUCCACACCUGGGUUGAUUCCAUGUCUGUGCUAUUGUGAAUAGCACUGCAGUGAACAUGUGGGUGCGUGUGUCUUUGUGGUAGAACGAUU
rnacentral:lncRNA from 1 species